GAUGAAGAACGUAGCGAAAUGCGAUAAGUAAUGUGAAUUGCAGAAUUCAGUGAAUCAUCGAAUCUUUGAACGCACCUUGCGCUCUUUGGUAUUCCGAAGAGCAUGCCUGUUUGAGUGUCAUGAAAAUAUCAACCUUGACUUGGGUUUUGUGCUCUAGUCUCGGCUUGGAAUUGGGUGCUUGCCGCUUUUACGAGCGGCUCACCUUAAAUGUAUUAGCUGGAUCUGUCUUUGAGACUUGGUUUGACUUGGCGUAAUAAGUAUUUCGCUAAGGACAUUCUUCGGAGUGGCCUCGUUUCUAGGACGCUUGUCCGCUUUCCAAUACUAGUUCCACCUCGUGGACAUGACUUUUUAUUAUCUGGCCUCAAAUCAGGUAGGACUACCCGCUGAACUUAAGCAUAUCAAUAAGCGGAGGA
rnacentral:misc_RNA from 1 species